UCAUCAAAACCGGUUUCCUGAAUGAAGCCGGUAACGCCUUCGCCAAUGACUGUUCUGCAGUCUCUAUUAAUCCUAACAAUAGGGGUCCAAGGUGGUAUGUUCAACACUGUCAAAUCGUCAACAGUUAUUCGCCUGGUAAAUCCAUCCUGUAUGCUGACUUCGGCCGCUCAUUUGGU